CUCCAGUCCACAGGGAGGGGACAUCACCGGGAAAGGGGCCGAGCUCGGAAACCGCGGCAGCUCUGGGGGUCCGGCUCCCCCUCCCCUCCCUUCCGCCCGCCCCUCCCGGCUGGCCCCUGUCCCCUCCCUCCGCUCCGCCGCCGGGCGGGGGCUGGAGCUGGGUCUGGUGCCCAGGAAAACAGACGAAGAGCGGCGGCAGGAAGGGAGCUGAACCUGUUCUCCUCCAGGCAUCGUUGCGGGGAAUCGAGGCGGGAAGGGGCGAGUAGGACGAGGGAGCAGGCGGCACAGCGAGUGAGCCCCGGAGCCGGCCUACCCCGCUGCGGCGGAGGGCGGACCAAGAUGCCUGACCGGCGAGCGCUGCCCACACCCCCUCCCGGAGACCGCCGACCGUAGAGGGGCCGCCGCGCCGCGGGGAUAGAAAGUUUUGAACAGUGCCUCCCCAAGAAGUGUGAUGAGAAAUGGCUUUAGGAAACAAUACCCAGAGAAGUUAUUCCAUCAUCCCCUGCUUCAUCUUUGUUGAGGAACUUCUUAUGAGAUGGGAGGGGAGUUCUGGAAACUCUUGGAGGAACAUUAGGAUGCCAGUGAGGACAGCUACCAUGAGCCCAUGUCUGCUAACAGCAGCCUCUAGUCAACUCUGCCAGCUGCUCCUGAUCCAACAGGGCCCUGAGCUUGCAGAUCUUGAGUCUUGAGCAAGGAGGGUCAAGUGAGACACUGGCACAGCUUGCCGAGAUGCUGCAGCUUCCAAACCCUGAACCUUCAACUACAGCAGGAGAACAAACCCUGAACCUUUAACUGCAGCAGGAGAACACAUGGAGUCUCUGUUUACUAAGGUUGGAAAGUGGAAACUCCACUGAUGAUGAAAGUUAGAAGCUGGUAGCUUCUAGCCCUGGGGGAGCAACCCCUGCUCCACGUGCAGAUCUGCAGCCAUGAGAAGAGGUUCAGUGUCAAGGCAUCUCCCUGGAUGAGAGCUCUGCACAGGGAAAUAAUUGAACCAGCUGGACCUUAACCAUGUGGCAAGAGAAAAUGGUGAGUGGUAGUGUUGAGAUAUUCUCUACCAGUGAAGAGUGAAGUCCACCAUGAGUGCCUUCCUUAAUACUGCUGUUGAGGAGGAGGAGAGUAUGAAGAGGACUGGAUGGAUCUGGUCCACAGUUGAGGUCACAAAUCACAGAAUAGUCUGAGUUAGAAGGGAUCAAGUCCAGCUCUUAAGUGAAUGACCCACACCUGUGUUUGUCCUGCUGAUGUCAGCAGCAGGGUUUGGCUUCUGUGUCCAUGCAACUCUCUUUGAGGAUCUGUACUGCUUAGAAGGCAAUCAUCCUGACCAAGUGGAGCAAAAGCAGCUUUGCCAGCAGCCUGGCUG
rnacentral:lncRNA from 1 species